CAGAUUAUAAUAUAAUUUAGUCUACACGUGUAUCACAAUAAAUUCUGUUACGUAAAGAAUAUAGUCGUCUAAACUAAACAGCCGUUUUGUUACUAUAAUUCAGUGAAGCGUCGCGGGCCGGAUUAAUUUUGCAUUGGACUAAAAUAACUCACAAUUUGUCUGAUAUCUUUACUUAUCAUAUUUUCCUUUAUCUUCAAGUAAUUAUCGGCUAUGACGUAUGUGUUGUAGUCUGCAUUAUACCAGCAUCUAUAUUAAAAGUGGAGUUGCAUGUUUAAUCGAUGUCACCUUCCGAAACAUUGGUCAUAGAAGAUGGUUAAAUAUUUCCCGUGUGUUUCAAGAACAUAUUAGUCUAUUUCGAAACGUUCAUAAUAAAUACGUGUGGUGUUCUCACAAAAAAAAAACGUUUUGGUUCCUGAGAAUGACACUAAAAUAGAAAAUAGCAGACCUAUUAACAACAACUUAACAUUCAUAACCAUAGCCAAGCAAAAUUCAAAAUUCAACUGAAUGCAUAUAAACGAAAAUAGGACACGGAGGUUACACUUACACUGAUCUUUUCUUGUCCUGCUGAAAAUGGUACAAUUCUGCGUGUAAGGAAUGCAGGUGACAGCACAUGCGCCAUAAUCUCCAUCAAACAAAGAGAGUGCAAACCAAACAAUUAUCACUGCGACAGCCUGAAAAUUCAAGCUUUUUUAUGAAAUAUUCCAUGUUAUAAAGUUUAAAAAACGUAUUCUGUAAUAUUGCUGGAAAACCGCAUUUAAUAUUUAGUCACACACUAAAAUUCUUACACGAACUCAUAACCUACCAGGCGUAGAUUUCUUAUACUUUGGAAUAAAGCAUGUAGUCGACUUCUAACGUUUAUCUAAAACUCAAUUUUUCUUACUUGAGCAUUGGCUUGAAACCAUUUAUUUCCUUUAGCAUGUGGGACGUUUUUAAGUGCACAAUAGCAACAACACCAGAAUACGACUGGCAAUUUUCCUUUUUGUUUUUCCUUUUGCAUAUUCCUUCAAAUUAAAAGAGUAAGAGGAAAAAUUUCUCUAGCUGUAAAACAGUAAAUCGUUAUAUCCGCAUUUAAUGCUAACCAUGACUGUUUUUUAAGCCGUGCAAGACGCAAAAUCCGCUUUACGAAUGACCGGUAAGAGGUAAUGAUGCUUUUUAACAUUUUUAAAGCAAAAUGUUUGACGUAUAUACCAUGUAGAUGGAAAUAAAUAAAUGGCUAAUA